GAUGAACGCUGGCGGCGUGCCUAAUACAUGCAAGUCGAGCGAACGGACGAGAAGCUUGCUUCUCUGAUGUUAGCGGCGGACGGGUGAGUAACACGUGGAUAACCUACCUAUAAGACUGGGAUAACUUCGGGAAACCGGAGCUAAUACCGGAUAAUAUUUUGAACCGCAUGGUUCAAAAGUGAAAGACGGUCUUGCUGUCACUUAUAGAUGGAUCUGCGCUGCAUUAGCUAGUUGGUAAGGUAACGGCUUACCAAGGCAACGAUGCAUAGCCGACCUGAGAGGGUGAUCGGCCACACUGGAACUGAGACACGGUCCAGACUCCUACGGGAGGCAGCAGUAGGGAAUCUUCCGCAAUGGGCGAAAGCCUGACGGAGCAACGCCGCGUGAGUGAUGGAGGUCUUCGGAUCGUAAAACUCUGUUAUUAGGGAAGAACAUAUGUGUAAGUAACUGUGCACAUCUUGACGGUACCUAAUCAGAAAGCCACGGCUAACUACGUG
rnacentral:rRNA from 1 species